rnacentral:rRNA from 1 species
GAUGAACGCUGGCGGCGUGCCUAAUACAUGCAAGUCGAGCGGAGCGGGGAGGGGUGAGUAACACGUGGAUAACCUCCUAUAAGACUGGGAAAAAUUCGUGAAACCGGUGCUAAACCGGCUACUUAGAGAUGGAUCCGCCGUGCAUUAGCUAGUUGGGAAGGUAACGGCUUACCAAGGCAACGAUCCAUAGCCGACCUGAGAGGGUGAUCGGCCACACUGGAACUGAGACACGGUCCAGACUCCUACGGUAGGCAGCAGUGGGGAAUCUUCCGCAAUGGGCGAAAGCCUGACGCAGCCAGGCCGCGUGAGUGAUGAAGGUCUUCGGAUCGUAAAACUCUGUUAUUAGGGAAGCGGUACCUAAUCAGAAAGCCCCGGCUAACUACGUGCCAGCAGCCGCGGUAAUAC